GAACUGAAGAGUUUGAUCAUGGCUCAGAUUGAACGCUGGCGGCAGGCCUAACACAUGCAAGUCGAGCGGUAGAGAGAAGCUUGCUUCUCUUGAGAGCGGCGGACGGGUGAGUAAUACCUAGGAAUCUGCCUGAUAGUGGGGGAUAACGUUCGGAAACGGACGCUAAUACCGCAUACGUCCUACGGGAGAAAGCAGGGGACCUUCGGGCCUUGCGCUAUCAGAUGAGCCUAGGUCGGAUUAGCUAGUUGGUGAGGUAAUGGCUCACCAAGGCUACGAUCCGUAACUGGUCUGAGAGGAUGAUCAGUCACACUGGAACUGAGACACGGUCCAGACUCCUACGGGAGGCAGCAGUGGGGAAUAUUGGACAAUGGGCGAAAGCCUGAUCCAGCCAUGCCGCGUGUGUGAAGAAGGUCUUCGGAUUGUAAAGCACUUUAAGUUGGGAGGAAGGGCAGUAAAUUAAUACUUUGCUGCUUUGACGUUACCGACAGAAUAAGCACCGGCUAACUCUGUGCCAGCAGCCGCGGUAAUACAGAGGGUGCAAGCGUUAAUCGGAAUUACUGGGCGUAAAGCGCGCGUAGGUGGUUUGUUAAGUUGAAUGUGAAAUCCCCGGGCUCAACCUGGGAACUGCAUCCAAAACUGGCAGGCUAGAGUAUGGUAGAGGGUAGUGGAAUUUCCUGUGUAGCGGUGAAAUGCGUAGAUAUAGGAAGGAACACCAGUGGC
rnacentral:rRNA from 1 species